rnacentral:rRNA from 1 species
ACGACUUGCAGUGGAGCCCGUGCGUCGGUUUCGGCCGUUCGUGCGGACCUGCAAUGUUCUGGCUGGUGCUCGACGGUGUGACUAUUGGCACAGGGCGCAAAUUUUUGCGUUCGACCCGUUUCAAGCGCGUGUGGUCACCCUUUCCUCGGACAUGUGCCGUGAUCGGAGCCGUGCGGCUGUUUGUUGCGGUGUUCUUGAACAGUCUCUGUUUGCCUGUCAGCGGCGCUAUUGCUUUGGGUACUUUCAGGACCCGUCUUGAAACACGGACCAAGGAGUCUAGCAUGUGCGCGAGUCAUUGGGACUAACGAAUCCUAAAGGCGUAAUGAAAGUAAAGCUGAGUCUAGAGCUCGGUUAGGGAAGAUGGGUGACUUUGUCGCCUCGCACUCCCGGGGCGUCUCGUUCUCAUUGCGAGUUGAGGCGUACCUUGAGCGUACACGCUGGGA